GUGGCACAUGGUGGCCCAUCAUCUUACUAAGACACAUUAUGUUGUUGUUUUUCUGAAUUAAAAACCCCUACAGACUUUGGUGGAAAGGCACUGGGUCCUGUUUUAUCAACUUGAAUUAUCUAUGAAUUCUUGUAUUCAACACCUUUAUAAAUCUUGUGCUUGACUGAUCCUAGACAAUGCUGCAGGGGUUUGGGAGGUUAGAAAUUAGCAAGGAGUGAUAUAGUGCAGAACAGAGUUAUGCACUGUUUCCGAAAGGGUACAGAAAACAGCCCUAAACCUUGCACUUAGUGAAGUGUUGGUUGGAAGCUAGACCGAGUGCAGCUUAGUUCCUAAAUAAUAGCAAUACAAAAUACAUUCAGCUUUACCAGACCUAAAGUAUUUUCAUAUUUUAGACCACAUGUGAAUGUAGCUCAUGCUUGGAAUGACUUACAGUGAACAAAUAAAGGCGUAAAGUCUCACUCACUGGCUCCUUAACAGGACAUGUGAGAUCAUACCUAUAAUCUUGUGCUAUGGUUUACCAGAAAUCCAGGGAAAUAAGUGGGAAAAGGUUUUUCAAAUGGGUCAGUGAUAGCAGAAAGAAAGACCGGGAACUGUCGAUGGAAAACAUUUAAGGACAUCAGAAUCUGCAGUCCAGCUGCCAACCCACUCCUUUUUGUGAAAAAGACAUUUUUUGCAUUUGCAUCUUUUUACUUUGUCUGGUUUACCAAAGCACUCUGUGUCCCAGCUGACACAAUUCCUGUUUUCUAGUGUCAGAUGUUCUUGACUUUAUGACAGAUUUUAAUUAUGCAUCCUGUGACUCAGUGUUCAGCAUAGCUGUACUGACCUUUUUGCUUUGCACUAGCUCCUGCUUUAGUGUCUCCUGCAACAUUCGCAUCCUUUUUCUGUCUGCACUUCACUCUUACAAGAACAAUUUGUGGUCUAAGGAAAAUGCCUUUUGCCAUUUACUGCUCUAAUUUUUAUCAGAUGAUGUUGCACUCAGUUUCCUCUCCAUAAGUGCAUCAGCAACAUUUGCUGAUCAUUAAUGCUCAGACCAACAGGCCGUCUUGCAGAAACAAAAUAGAGGUUUUAUGGUCACAAUAACAACCAGUUGUGUUUGUUUUAACCUCCAGUGCUUAUUUCUUGCAGCUUGUCUUAUGUAUUUAUCUGUGUUUGCCUUCAGAUUCUUAAUCAAAACUGCAUCCCCUCUUCUUCUUCUUAUAAUCAUUUUUGAACAUAUUACUCCAGACUCUGUCACUUCACACCUGUUCCUUUGCUACCACAUGACUACUGAUUUCAGCCAAGCCAGUCAAGCCUGGGAACCUGUAGACAAAAUGGUGUUUGUACAUCCGUCCAGCAGAGUGAGCAUGUGUGGGCUAAAGUGAGGGAGACAAAAAAAGCCACAGAAAAAUAUCCAAUUAAAUAGACGACAGUAAAUCAACAUCUUUUCCCUCUGUGUGUGCGUAUUUUUACGACAUAUGCAUUUAUGGAGUUCAGCAGCCGUAUGAGGAAAUUAGCCUGUGUAUCCGCCGAGGUCCUCCCGCCCCUCUGUCUUGUUCUCUAAUCCGCCCACAUGUAUCGUCUGAAGAAAAAAAUAGUGCAGAAGGUGACGCUCCUCCAAAGGAACAGAGAGGGAAAGGCAGAGAGGUGUCUACAGGCUGCAUGUCCAUUGAAACAUUUCGAAGGGGGAGACAGAGGAAGAGGCUGAAUGGUAGCUACACCCUGCGCCUGGAAGCGUAGAGACACUGUAACAAAGGCUGGCAGUUAUUUUUGGCAAUAACAAAGAGGUGGGAGAGGGGCUCUGAAAUCGAGGGAAAUAGCAAAAAAAAGACAGUUUUCAGGGGGACUUCUGCUUCAUUUCAUCCGAAAGACUCAUCCCUUGUCAUCAUCAGCAUGACCAUAAGCUAUAAGUAACAUUCGGCAAUAACGUUGUCCAAACGAGAUUUUCAGCAACAGACGCGCGCAAUCCUAUUUUGGUUUAUUAUAAUCGGGGGUGGGGGGGUGGGGGGGAAGCUCACCUGAAUGCCUGCGACAAACUGGAUACUAUCUGAAAUCAUAAAGAGCGAUCUAACAAAGAAACUACAUUUUGAUUGAUCUUAAAGCUUGAUGUGCGUGUUUCUGCACGCACUCGAAACGAACCUGAACCAAAAGCAAACUUCUCAGACUCCUCCCUCCUCCUCCCUUCGGUUUCUCUCAUCCUCUCCCUCCCUCCCCCCGGUCCUCUAUGCUCAGUUCAGUGUGUGUAUCCUCUUUCAAAGGGCGCAAGGGUGGGAACAAGUCGUCCAACAAAGCAUGUUACAGCGCAGACAUGACUUGUCCGUCGGAAAGCGAGAAAAUCGUGAUAAACUGCGGGGGGGUGCGGCAUGAGACCUACCGGAGCACCCUAAAAACGUUGCCCGGUACCCGCUUAUCUUGGCUCACCGAGCCGGACGCAUUCAGCAACUUCGACUACGACCCCAAAUUAGACGAGUUCUUCUUCGACCGCCACCCGUCAGUGUUUUCCUUCAUCCUCAACUAUUACCGCACCGGGAAGUUGCACUGUCCCAAUGAUGUGUGCGGUCCCCUGUUCGAAGAGGAGCUGGCCUUCUGGGGCAUCGACGAGACAGACGUGGAGGCGUGUUGCUGGAUGAAUUACCGGCAACAUCGGGAUGCAGAGGAGGCACUGGACAGCUUCGAGACUCCAGAACCGGACGCGCCUGACGACGACCCGGCCCUGGGUGGUGCGGAUGGGGAUUUAAAAAGACUGUGCAUGCAGGAGGACACAAGGAAAGCGGGCUGGUGGAAAACCUGGCAGCCUAAAAUAUGGGCACUGUUUGAGGACCCCUAUUCCUCCAAAUAUGCCCGGUAUGUGGCAUUUGGCUCCCUAUUCUUCAUUCUCCUCUCCAUCUCCACUUUCUGCAUGGAGACGCAUGAGGCCUUCAACACCAUCAUCAACAAGACAGAGAACGUCACGGUGGGCAACACAACUCGUGAGGAGAAUGUAUAUGAGGUGGUGACUGACAAUUGGUUGACAUAUGUGGAGGGCGUGUGCGUCAUUUGGUUCACCAUCGAGGUCCUGCUACGAGUCACCUUCUGCCCAGACAAGUUAGAAUUCUUCAAAAGCGCCCUCAACAUCAUUGACUUUGUUGCCAUCCUGCCCUUCUAUCUUGAGGUGGGCCUGAGUGGUCUGUCCUCCAAAGCUGCCAAGGAUGUCCUAGGGUUCCUCCGUGUUGUCCGAUUUGUCCGUAUCCUCAGAAUCUUUAAGUUAACCCGCCACUUUGUGGGUCUCCGUGUCCUUGGCCACACCCUUCGUGCCAGCACCAAUGAAUUCCUCCUGCUCAUCAUCUUCUUAGCCCUUGGUGUUCUCAUCUUUGCCACUAUGAUCUACUAUGCUGAACGAAUUGCCGCAGACCCAAAUGACCCAACAGGCAGUGCCCACACCAACUUCAAGAACAUCCCCAUUGGAUUUUGGUGGGCUGUUGUGACCAUGACCACAUUGGGAUAUGGAGAUAUGUACCCAGAGACGUGGUCAGGGAUGUUGGUGGGUGCGCUGUGUGCCUUGGCUGGUGUGCUGACCAUUGCUAUGCCUGUACCUGUCAUUGUCAACAACUUCGGCAUGUACUACUCCUUGGCCAUGGCCAAACAAAAGCUGCCCAAAAAGAAGAACAAACACAUCCCCCGAGCACCCCAGCCAGGGUCCCCCAACUACUGCAAGCCAGAUGCCCUUGCUAUGGCUACUGCAUCACCACAAAGAAUCUUGGGAAAUGUCCUUGGUGGAGUGAUGGGAUCUGGAGGCAUAGGGGGUGACUGUCCUCUCGCCCAAGAAGAAAUAAUAGAGAUUAACAGAGAUUCCAAGCAGAAUGGUGAUGCAGCCUCAGCCGCCUUGGCUAACGAGGACUGUCCCACCAUUGACCAGGUGCUGAGCCCAGAUGAGAGGAGCCCUAUUGGCCGGGGGCCUACCCGGGAACGCUACCAGCAGGACCGCGCCUGCUUCCUUCUCAACACCAGGGAAUUCCGUGCCGCAGAUGGGAAUGUGCGGAAAGGUUGUGUCAUAUCACGCGUGUGUAUGUGGGCUUUUUCAUUCUUACAUGUUAUACAUAACUGUGUCUCUGUCUUCUCAAUGCCGUCUGAGUGUUGUGUUUGUGUUGUUGUGUGUGGCUUAAUUUUGUUUUUUCCCCUUCUACCGUGUUUACUCGUGUUAGUCCCUACCCCACGGACCUCCGCCUUGGCAAACAUAACCACAUGCUGCAAUUUAGAUACAGUUUGCCUUGAAAACGCAUUCUUCUUACAUUUUUAUACACAAUACUGUAUGUACAUGCACUCAUGCACAGGUUUAACUGACACUCUUCAUGUGCAUAUCUGUGUGUACAUGUACCUUGUUUUAUGUCAAAUCAGUUGGCCAGCCUUGAUAGCCUUCCACAGGACACUGAUUGCAGUGUUAUAGGAAUGUCAUCUUUCCAAGGCCCAAGGUCACUGGGGUCAGGAUGGUAGUCAAGGUCAGGGGAUAGUACCUCUUGAAACAUGCCACGCUAUAAACAGGCAACAAGAAUUCAACACUGUUAUCACACUUGAUGUUUUAUGUCAGCUUUGCAAACACUUUGCGAGCACUUCAUAGUUAUUGUGAUGCUGGUUUACUAAAUAUUGUGCUGCGAGCGUGUAAUGGAUCUGAAGUACUAUUCCCUAGACCAUGUAACUGUGCUUUCAGCGCCUAGUGUAGUCCAAAGUUCAGGACCUUUUUGUAUUUGUGUUGUGGAGUCCUGGAUAGAAUUUAAAGGGUUAUAAAGCUGCACUCGGUGACUGAAACACUUACUGUCGAGACAGACAAAUACUAUGACAGAUCUGAUUGAAAAGUAGCCACAUGCUGUCUAAGGUAAGCAAGCCUUCAGCUGUCCAAGCCCUUCACUUAGAGGUCCCUGACAUCGCUUCAGUUUCAGUGGUUUUUAUGUAUAAAGUGCAAUUUAAGUGCUACAAAAAUCCCUCUUUAGAGCAAAUCAGGAGCCCACUGAAGAAUAUAAACACUGGAGUCACUCGAAUGGGAAGUUGUACACUGUCAUUUAAACAUAUAGGUUGGGGAUCUACAGUGGUUCUAGUCGGUAUUGAUAUAUUCAGCCUUGUGCAUCAUCAGAAAAUGAGCGCAUACUUGGUGCUUACAGUAAAUACCAGAGAAAUCUGAUGCACUUCUUUCCAUCUACUGAACCCGAUCCUCCAGCAUUUGAUAACAAGGUCAUGUGUAUACAGCCCUGUGUUAGACAAUCUGUCCAGUGUUUCCACCCUUUGUCCCGGUGCAGUUGUAAAUACAGUAAAUACAUGGCUAUGUACAGAAAGUUGUAUACAUCGCUGUACAUGAUUAUCAAUUACUUAACAGAGACAAACAGUACUGAACAUCAAGAAGAAACAUUGGGUAUAUGUCCCUGUUCUCCUCUGAUAAUGAAAAUUCUCCUUGUUUUUAAAGAGGGAUUGUCAUGCUGUCUAAAACCCAUUCUUGUAUGUUUCAGUUGUGAUUUAUUUCAUAGAUACACACAUAAGAUGUCUUUGCCAACUGCUUUUAUUCCAGUUUCUUCUCUUUGAUUGUUGGCCAUUUGACUUCCUGUGCACCCAGUGCAGUAUGCAUGGCUCACUCGGGUCAAACGGUCAAUCACCCCUUUGAUUGCCCACUCCCAAUCACUCCUCUAGACCUUUCCUCAAGGAUUGUCCUCUUCAGUCUCGUUAGGGUUCUGUCUGUCUCUCUCUCUUUCUCUUCCUCUCCCUUCUCUCUUCGUUCAGUUUCUCACUAUGUGUGCCAAUUAUUUUGUUCUUUUAUUUCGUAGGUUUUUGUGCUUUUUUAUGGCCUGUGUUUCUAACAUGAUGUGUACAUCAAUAAUUAAUUUAUUAUGUGGUGUAUUAUGUAGUGAUUUCUGUAGAGGUUUGUGUUUUGAUGUCUUAGUGUGAAUGUUUUGUCUUUUAAUGUGUGAAGGAUUAAGUUCUGUUUAUUUUUAAUGAAUAUAUUUUUUGCUGUUUUCUGUGGUUAUGGUCUGUUUAAUUUGGAAUGUCUUUGAGUUUUGUACAAGUGUGUUUUGUUGUCUGGUGUUUUGACUUCCCCCUAUGUUCUUCCUGUGUUUUGCUCUGAGUUUUACCAUCACCUACUAUCUGCCUUGUGUGAAUUGCAAUGAUAACAUAAAAUACCAACAAAAUUGUGAGGUUAACACAACAAUGGCACUAAUAUCACCAAUUCAGGACAUUCUCAAGGACUAAUUGGACAACAAAGCUUGUUGUUCUUUACCAAAUUCAACCAAACUCACACUAUAAAAAGAUUUAAUGUAUUUUUGACAUGCGAAUAGGGAUUAUAAUUUUUAUUUGACAGUUCAAACCCCCCAAAGAACUGAAUUUCUGCUUUGCAGUUUAACACAACAUUGAGCUAAAUUUACUUAUAAACAAGCUAGUAUAUUUAGCAAGGUGCAUUCUUCUUUUUAUUUACCUAAUGGUUAACUAUUCAUAAUUGUACUAUUGAUUCGGAUAAAUUGAUGGUGGAACUAUUUGUCAGGAGUUUUAGUGUAUUUGCCUACUGGCCACCACCACAACACACCUGUUGUUUCUGCCUGUGUCUUAGCAACAUUAUUCACUGUGGUCAGUUUCUGUUCAGUUUUAUGUGACACACCUCGGUACAAGUGGCUGUCAAAUCAAACACAACAUAUUAACUCCAAAUGUAACUCCUAAAAUCUUUCUAAUUGGUGUGAAAAUGAGUUUAAUGUGGUAACAUGUCAGUGUCCUCUUUAAGUCAUACGCAUUAUGUUAAACCUGUUCAACAUCAUCAUGCAUGUUCUGAUGUGUGCAACAGUAUCACUUUGUUUUUUACAAUGUUGGCUCAUCACAACAAUCUGCAAAUAUUAUUUUGCCUGAGCCAGAUUUUUUUUUAACCUUAUAAUAGAAAUAAUAUGACAUGAUUAUAUGUACAGUAUGUAUGUCAAUGUUUAUUUAUAAGAAGUAUAUAUAUGUAUACAGUAUAUAAAGCAUUAAUUGGAACUUGAACUGUAAUACAAAUGUGCUCACACAGAUAGGUCUACACACAGGUAACAAAAAGACAUGAGAAACAGCUGCAUGCCACCUAGUUUCCCCAAAAGAUAACAGAGGUACUCUGUGUACUGUGUGGACAUAUUGUGGUAGAGGUUGAUACAUCUCAUUAUGGGUAACAGGAGAUCACCCUAUCCUAACAGGCAUUUGAGUUCAUGUAAUGAUAGAAUGAUAGUGUGUGGCCAUGCCAAGAAUAGCAUCUGAACUGUCAACAAAUUCUUUGCAUCCACAACAGGCACACAGUCAUACAAUUGCAGGAUGUAUGAGAAGUAAGUAAUAGAGGUGUUCAAGUAGUUUUCUGCCUUCUGUAUACUGUACAUACAAUAUAUAUACGGGAAUAUUAUAUAUUUUGUUCACUCUAUUUCAUUUUACAUGAUUAUUUCUUUGAGUUGAGGCAGAAUAUUUGCAGCUUCCCUCUCUCUGUUUCUGUGUUUUCCCUCUCCAUAACCUUCUCCCUCUGUGAUUAACACUCAUUCUCCAUCCCAUCCCCAGGCCGCCACUGCAGCGCAAGUGUAACUAAAGUCUGACUAUAGUGUUAAGUUUCUAGCAUUCGCCUUCUCUCUAAUGAGGAGUCAGUAACUGGUAAACACAAAUUUGCGGCGGGAGCCAUGUAAGCGACAGGUGUGACAAGGAUGGACGGUUUUAAAGGACAUCUUUGGGGUGACAAGAGAGAGACCAGAGGUUAAUCAUUAAUUUAAGUCAUGUGGUCUGCUCCUCAUGUUGUUACCAAAGCAGCCUCUCGGAACUCUGACCACACUUUGAGAACUGUCUGACUGACCUCCUUUUUGUUCCUCCCCUUUUUGACUUUUUUUUUUUCGAGCAAAUGGACGGAGCAUUGCACUGACACAUUUUUGGAGAGAAAAGGACUCCUGAUUAUACAGUACAUUCCAGAUAACAUCUCUCUGAUCACAUUAUGCUUACCAUCUUGUAUGAUGACCAACUCAGUCCCAUCUACAGUGCUGAACAACUGAGCAACUUCACAAGUUACCUAAAAAAAAAAAACAACAACACUUGUCUUCACAAAGGACUGAAUGAACAAUGUAGCAUCUCUGCUAACAUUCUGUAGCAUUUGUUGGCUGUGAAAUAACUUGACUUAAUCCACCAACAGUUCGAAAUGAGACAAACUUUAUGCAUUCAUGGGAUAAUUUAGAUGUCAUUUUUCCUCUUGAGUUCCUCUCCAGUGAAGGAAAAAUAGAGAGAGAGAGAGAGUACAUGAGAGACAAAGGAUUGGUCUUAAUCAUAAAACACCUGACUUUCCCAAAAUUAUGUAAUAAAUACAGUGGAUAUGAAAUAAAUCAGAAAUGCACAAUUGCCACACUAUAGGUCCUCAACCAGGUUUAGGACAUACGUGUUUGCCAUCCUAAGUUGCAUAUAUGCACCAAUGUUUCCCUCAAUUGCGUCUCUCCUUGUGUCUUAGUCCCACCCACGUAGGAUGUGAGGAGACAGUGCAAGGAACAAAUAUGAGGAGAGAGGAAUCGAGGAAGCACGUUCAGAGAGACCUGAAGCAUCCUUUCCUCCGAUCCUUCAUCUUAAGCGCCCAAUCACCAACUGACUUUCAAUAAAGGGGUGUGUCGGUGUAUAAGACUUUUGCAAAAAGACGCUCUCAUGUGUCCUCACUCAUGGCUUCUCUGGCAGUCUCCUCGCUCCUCAAUCUUCAAUCUUCAUAGCAGAUAUAAUAGUCAUGGACGUCCUUGAGCCUCACUCAACUGGAAAAACCUCCGGGUCAAAUGAGGUUUGAGGAGUGAGCAAUGAUUAUAUAAGAAACUUGAGAUGCGGCCUGUCUUCCAUUCCCUCCUGUCAGACUGAAUCACUGCCCUCCUCCAAGUAGUGAGAUAAUCAAAAACAGCACAGAAGAUAAAAUUGAACAAAUCAAGCACAUGUAGCAUCAGCUCCAACAGGUCAUGUACUGUAUGGUAUUUACUGCACACUUACUCACCUGAAACACUUGUCAUAAUAAAAUGGUGGAAAAAACAAAUUUUUAUCUCUCAUGUACUAACAUUCAUGUGGGAUACCAAAGGUCCUGUAGCAUGCACCUGCCAAAUGACCUUAUGUAUUGUCUUGUAGAUUAGAAGAAGUAUUAGGAUGAGGUUUGUAUUCACCCUCAUACAGGCCAUUGUUUCUGUUUGGUACAAAGUCAUUCCUCUAAAAGAAUUUAGUCCUUUAACUGCCACUAGCAAACCCAUUCCUGUAUGUGCAUUUAAAUAUUACAAGUAUUUCUCUCAUGUCUGAUUGACAGUUCUCAUUUAUAAGGAGCAAAAGGACUGCCUCGAGGAGACAAAAGCCCUGCAGACAAUUGUCAGUCUUUCUUCAAUAUCAAGGGACACUAGCCAACUAAAUUACAACAAAAAGGACACCCCUACAACAAGGACGCUUUUUACGUCUCAUAAAACUGUCCCAUUAGGCGGAAAUUCUGUGUGAUCGUUUUAGAACGGGACCAAUCAGAUAAAUGCUCCCCUGACACAAAGGCCAACACUGCCAAUAAUGCACAAGAAUCCCCAGAUGCAUACUGCUGCAUCUCUCUCUUGUCCCUCUUGCUGCCAAUGACUGCUUCACUGGCAAGUUUAUGUCAAGAUAAGGAUGGCCCAAAAGGCAAAGGGUAAAACAAGAAGAAAAGGACCAAGAGUAGAGCAAGUGUGGAAGUGUACAAAGAGAACAAAUCUAUAUUUUGAUAAACAAAUCAACUAUCCAUGGCUUUGUAGGAAGUCUGAGCAAAAUCAGGUCCUGAAUGGAAGAAAUAAAUAAAAAAAAAUAAUCUGAUGCAAAUGUGAAUGGGAAAUGUGGUAUUGUGAAACGGAAUCUAAGACCUGGAAAAAGAUGGGAAUCCGGUAUUUUCUCAUGAGGGUUGGCCAAAGUUGUUUUCCCCACAAGCACUGAGAAAGAUGACUCAAAGACAAUGAGCAAGGACAGACUCUCCUUUAAAGACAUGGAGAUGACAAAGGACGGCUGCUGAGCUCAACAAAUGAGAAAAAGAUAAUGCAUUUUUGUAACUUUGUUUACCAGCAUGACUACUUUGCAUGACUGUCUUUUCUGCAAGCCCUUAGUUGAAGACAAGGGUGCUAGAGAUACAAAAAAGUAUAUAUAAAAUAAAUUUAAAAAAAUGUUAUAUGCAAUUAAUGUUUUAAAAAAGAUUAUAAUGAAAGAGAAGAGCUAUAUUUUGUUUUGAAAAGUGAAAAAAUGUGAAUAUUGAAAUGUAUGUUUGCAAAGUACACCCUGAACUAUGUUUCAUUUGAUGAACUCUCUCUGCUACUACUGCCCUACAUCCCUCAUUCCUGUUUUCUUGACUGCUGCCAUUUUUACUUUCUGAUGCAUCAAGCAGUAUAUUUUCUAACCAUUCAAUCAACAGUGAUGAUAUGAGACUUUGCCAAACUAUAGCAUUUGUGCAAAAGAUGUUUAUUGUUCAUUACAAAGUCCACGUUUUCCUCCUUGAAUCAUUUGCACAGCUACCGUAGCAGCAAAAGCAACCACAGCAGCAGCAGCCCUAAGACAGCAGCUCUCCAUACCACAACUCUGAUUGCUUUCAUAGUUAGCUUUUUUCUUUGGCAAUAAUACAUGGUUGUCAUAUGAUUGUAGCAGGGCAAACGGAGAACCUCGAGACUGUCUUCAACGCCUCAGUGUUAAAGAGAUUUGUAAAGGCCUUGGAAGCUGGGAUAGGCAGCUCUGUUCCACUAGUCCUCAGUAGAAAAUGAAACAGUGAAGACCAACAACAGACUAUAGUGGAGAACAGUCUGGAGCAAUUUUAGGUUUGCAUCGAGCCAACUGCCAUUCCAAAGUUUGCUUGUGGUUUAAAGGACUCAGGUGUGUUGACAGUGUGUGUGUGUGGAUGUAGGUGUUUUUUUGCUAUUUUCUUCUAACAUAAAAAAUUCUAAUAUAUAGAUGAUGAUAAUGUGAACACCUCACAGUGAUGUGUAAUAAACGCAUGCAUUAUGACUUGAUAAUCUCUUGAGGGGAAUGGAGUCUUGACAUAUCCCCCUAGCCUUCAUUGUUUGUCAUGAAUCCAGUCAUAGAAACGAUGAACACUGUGCCGUGUUGUAGAGCAGAAACGUCUUCCUUUGAGAGGCAACUGAAAACUACUCACACUCACAGUGUCAGCAUGAGUGUGCAGAGGUAGCUCGUCUUUUUUUUGUUUGUUUGUUUUUUUUUUUUUUAAGAUGGUCAGGUCUUUGCAUCCAUUGUUACCCAUGGAGUUACUGUCAUCCAGCUGGCUAGCUGACAGCUCAUUACAGCACACACAACGCAGUCAUGUGAGCACCAAUCAAAAAGACCCAGAGCUUCCAAAACGAUGUCAAUGAAGUACUUUAAGUGUGAGAAGGAGAAGAUGAGAGAUACAGUACCAGUGUCCACCGAGGGGUAAAAAAAGCAUCUCAUUGUUGAGUCCUCUUCAAGUACCUCAUUUUUGGUUUGGUAUUCCAAGUGAGUUUCAGGCCCUGCUGGUCCAGGGCUCAACUCAGGCAGCUGAAUGGUCCUCCGUCCAUUCUUAGUACAUUGUAGUUGGAGGCUUACCAGAAUAUGAGACUCAGUGGUGUGAUGUAGACUACAGACUAUUCGAGUUUUCUGUCAGCGCUGGUUUUACAGGGUCUAGAACUUUUGUCCAUUUGCAAAAAUGGUGCGUAGGGUUUUGUCUUUGUCCCUUAUCUUUUUAAACUUCCAGUUUCUGUUCCCAUUUUGGAAGGCAUUAAGCAGCUGUGGCUUUGAUGGUCACAAAGAUGUUUGUUAAUAUUUCAGAGUUAAUUUUCUAGCAGUGGUGGGCACACUAGCAAAAACAUUGUGCUUCACCCAGCAGUUUGUGUUUUUAUGGUCAAGUACUGUCCUUUUCUUUUCACAGCUUUCACUGUUAGGUUUGUCAUAUCUUCAUUCUCUGCAUUGUGACUGCUCUGCCAGUGCCAGGCUUAAAAAGAUGUCUUUCUUUUUCUAUUGCAUAAUACUGCCAUUUGACUUAGUCAUGUUGAACAGAAUGCAUUACAAUGUUGAGUGCCAAGUCUGUUUUAUUUUCUGAAGUCUUUGGAAAAUGUUUUCUAGUGUUAAAGAUUUCCUGCCUAACAUUCACAUGACCAAAAGAACAAAACUGCUUUACAUGUUUUAAUCCAACAGCUAUUAUGUGUAAAGAUGAUAUUAUAACAAGUCCACUGCAGGUGUUUGAAGGGUGUUAUAUGGUCCUUGAACAGCACAUCCUCAAUUAUAUCUUAUUUAUUUAUUUAUUUAUGUGCCUAUUACAAUUUUUUUUAAUUAAAUGUUUUUGAAGGACACUGUAGGCAAUCUGCACCACAAAUGCCACUGAUUGACACUUACUGUAUGCUCCCUGAGAUGUACUGUCAUCAGUUCAGGUGAUUUAACAGUCGCACUAAAGUCUUUUAUUUUACAAAGUGAUAAGCCCAGAGUUGUUUUAGAGGAAAUGUUAUCAUACUGAAUAGAUUUUUCUAAUCUAUUUAAUAUUUUAUUUUAAUUAGAAAUGAUGUGAUACAUACCAAGAAAGUCAUGCUAAUAUACAUACAUCUAAUAUUACAGACUAACAUCAUACAAUUACAUAAGCAUUCCAAAGAUAAAAGAUGUAUGCUCAUUUUACAUGCCGUCAAAUUGUAUAAAACAGACUUAGGUACUAGUCCAUUGUACUGCGGUCUUAGUAGGAGAGUGAAUGGGGAGAAGAGGUGGUCACUGGAGUAUCUGGUUGUGACUGAUGCCGGAUUUUAUUUUUGAAAUGUUUAAACACAAAGAACAACUCAUCAAGAACUGUAUAAAGUAUAUUUCAAUGGAAUGUUCAUGAUCUAUCUUUUUAUAUUUUGAAGAAAAAAUAGAAACAUAUCAAUAAAGUGGCAUAAUUGAACAUAUUUCUACUAUUGAGACUUAAAAUGUAUGAAUGUCAAUGAGAUCUAAUGUGAACCACUCCAUAGCAGCUUGAAUGAAUAACUGAUUAACAGUCAUACGAUGCUUUUUCAGAAACAUUAAAACUGCUUAAAAUCAUUGAGAUGAACUUAAAAUAAAUGAAAAAAGUGAUAUCAA